GUACACGCUGUGACUAGCAUAUCAAUAAGCGGAGGAAAAGAAACUAACAAGGAUUCCCCUAGUAACGGCGAGUGAAGCGGGAAGAGCUCAAAUUUGAAAUCUUAAAGGGUUUCCCUUUACGAAUUGUAGUUUAAAGAAGUGUUUUCUGCUGAGGUUUUGGUAAAAGUUCUUUGGAAUAGGACAUCAUAGAGGGUGAGAAUCCCGUAUCUGACCCUUACUUUCAACUUUGUGAUACACUUUCAAAGAGUCGGAUUGUUUGGGAAUGCAGUCCAAAAUGGGUGGUAAAUUUCAUCUAAAGCUAAAUAUUGGCGAGAGACCGAUAGCGAACAAGUACCGUGAGGGAAAGAUGAAAAGAACUUUGAAAAGAGAGUUAAACAGUACGUGAAAUUGUCAAAAGGGAAGCGUUUGACACCAGUGUUGUUUUUCUGAAAAUCAAUUAAAGAAGCUGUUUAUGCUAAGUUGUUUAGACUUUAUCAGCUAACUGUUUAGUUUUGAGCUUUUCUUUAAUGCACUUUUCAGUUAACAAGUCAAUAUCAAUUUCUUUUGCUGUAAAAAAGCUUGAGGAAGGUGGCUUGAGAUUCGUCUUAAGUGUUUAUAGCCUCUUGCCUAUGCAGUCGGAGAGAUUGAGGUCUGCAGCGUAGAUCCUUCGGGGCUAAAUGCAUAUUGUGCUAAGCUAUAGCAUUUUAUAGACAACUUGUUGACUAUGAUUUGUCUUGUAGCUUACUCGCUUAUGUUAUUUUACCUACGCUUAGGAUGUUGAGUCGUAGAGCACGCAG
rnacentral:rRNA from 1 species